AAUUAAUGAACUUGAAUAAGUAUAUGUUUUGAAAACAUAAUAUAGAAAUUUUAACUUUCUAUUAAUUU
rnacentral:tRNA from 1 species